UAACACGUGAGCAACCUGCCUUUCANAGGGGGAUAACAGUUGGAAACGACUGCUAAUACCGCAUAACGCUGCGAUGGGGCAUCCCGAUGCAGCCAAAGGAGCAAUCCGCUGGAAGAUGGGCUCGCGGCCGAUUAGCUAGUUGGUGGGGUAACGGCCCACCAAGGCGACGAUCGGUAGCCGGACUGAGAGGUUGAUCGGCCACAUUGGGACUGAGACACGGCCCAGACUCCUACGGAAGGCAGCAG
rnacentral:rRNA from 1 species